GCUUUUAUGGUGUAUUUAACACAUUAGAUUUUCGAUCUAAAGUUGGAGAUUUACUCUUAAAAGUU
rnacentral:tRNA from 1 species